rnacentral:rRNA from 1 species
AUUGAACGCUGGCGGCAUGCCUUACACAUGCAAGUCGAGCGGUAACGGGCCUUCGGGUGCCGACGAGUGGCGAACGGGGGCGUAAUACAUAGGAACGGGCCCGAUCGCGGUGGAUAACGAGGCGAAAGCUUUGCUAAUACCGCAUACGAUCUAAGAUAUUAAACCGGAGACCUCAAUGCCUUACGAGGGCUGUGCGGCCCAUGGCAGAUUAGGGAGUUGGUGGGGUAACAGCUUACCAAGCCCACGAUUUGUAGCUGGCCUGAGAGGAUGAUCCGCCACACUGGGACUGAGACACGGCCCAGACUCCUACGGGAGGCAGCAGUGGGGAAUUUUGGACAAUGGGCGCAAGCCUGAUGCAGCCAUGCCGCGUGCAGGAUGAAGGCCUUCGGGUUGUAAACUGCUUUUGUAAGGAACGAAAAGCCUUCUUUUAAUACAGGCGGGUCAUGACGGUACCGUAAGAAUAAGCACCGGCUAACUACGUG